AGAGAUGGAUUGGUGGCCUUCGGGAACUCUGACACAGGUGCUGCAUGGCUGUCGUCAGCUCGUGUCGUGAGAUGUUGGGUUAAGUCCCGUAACGAGCGCAACCCUUGUCCUUAGUUACCAGCACGUUAUGGUGGGCACUCUAAGGAGACUGCCGGUGACAAACCGGAGGAAGGUGGGGAUGACGUCAAGCCAUCAUGGCCCUUACGGCCUGGGCUACACACGUGCUACAAUGGUCGGUACAAAGGGUUGCCAAGCCGCGAGGUGGAGCUAAUCCCAUAAAACCGAUCGUAGUCCGGAUCGCAGUCUGCAACUCGACUGCGUGAAGUCGGAAUCGCUAGUAAUCGUGAAUCAGAAUGUCACGGUGAAUACGUUCCCGGGCCUU
rnacentral:rRNA from 1 species